GCUGCCGUAGCUCAGUGGUAGAGCACUCCCUUGGUAAGGGAGUAACCGGAGUGGCACCA
rnacentral:tRNA from 1 species